rnacentral:rRNA from 1 species
CAGUAGCCGCGGUAAUACGUAGGGUGCAAGCGUUAAUCGGAGUUACUGGGCGUAAAGCGUGCGUAGGUGGUGGUUUAAGUCCGUUGUGAAAGCCCUGGGCUCAACCUGGGAAUUGCAGUGGAUACUGGGUCACUAGAGUGUGGUAGAGGAUAGUGGAAUUUCCGGUGUAGCAGUGAAAUGCGUAGAGAUCGGAAGGAACAUCUGUGGCGAAGGCGACUAUCUGGGCCAACACUGACACUGAGGCACGAAAGCGUGGGGAGCAAACAGGAUUAGAUACCCCAGUAGUCCCUGUCUCUUAUAC